rnacentral:rRNA from 1 species
GUGCCAGCAGCCGCGGUAAUACGUAGGGUGCAAGCGUUAAUCGGAAUUACUGGGCGUAAAGCGUGCGCAGGCGGUUAUGCAAGACAGAUGUGAAAUCCCCGGGCUCAACCUGGGAACUGCAUUUGUGACUGCAUGGCUAGAGUACGGUAGAGGGGGAUGGAAUUCCGCGUGUACCAGUGAAAAUGCGUAGAUAUGCGGAGGAACACCGAUGGCGAAGGCAAUCCCCUGGACCUGUACUGACGCUCAUGCACGAAAGCGUGGGGGGCAAACAGGGAUUAGAUACCCUGGUAGUCC